UGGGAGAUAGAUACUCAAGUUUCAAUAAGUUAAGAUCACUUGACAUGAUUCUUCCCAAGAACAAUGGAAAGUGCCUUCUGAUGACUGUAACUUGUUAAGCAUUAAUUUACAGACAGAUACGGGGCAUACAUUU